AUGAAGAACGUAGCGAACUGCGAUACCUGGUGUGAAUUGCAGAAUCCCGUGAACCAUCGAGUCUUUGAACGCAAGUUGCGCCCGGAGCCGCGAGGCCGAGGGCACGUC
rnacentral:rRNA from 1 species